rnacentral:misc_RNA from 1 species
GUACCUUCAAGCUCUGCUUGGUGUUGGGCGUAUUGUCAAAUCCUCAGCGGUUAGACUCGCCUUAAAGUAAUUGGCAGCCAGUGUUUUUGGUAGUAAGCGCAGCACAUUUUGCGUCUUAGUCCGUCAACGGUGGCAUCCACAAAGCCUCUUUCUCAC